GGUUAAGCGACUAAGCGUACACGGUGGAUGCCCUGGCAGUCAGAGGCGAUGAAGGACGUGCUAAUCUGCGAUAAGCGUCGGUAAGGUGAUAUGAACCGUUAUAACCGGCGAUUUCCGAAUGGGGAAACCCAGUGUGAUUCGUCACACUAUCAUUAACUGAAUCCAUAGGUUAAUGAGGCGAACCGGGGGAACUGAAACAUCUAAGUACCCCGAGGAAAAGAAAUCAACCGAGAUUCCCCCAGUAGCGGCGAGCGAACGGGGAGCAGCCCAGAGCCUGAAUCAGUGUGUGUGUUAGUGGAAGCGUCUGGAAAGGCGCGCGAUACAGGGUGACAGCCCCGUACACAAAAAUGCACAUGCUGUGAGCUCGAUGAGUAGGGCGGGACACGUGGUAUCCUGUCUGAAUAUGGGGGGACCAUCCUCCAAGGCUAAAUACUCCUGACUGACCGAUAGUGAACCAGUACCGUGAGGGAAAGGCGAAAAGAACCCCGGCGAGGGGAGUGAAAAAGAACCUGAAACCGUGUACGUACAAGCAGUGGGAGCACGCUUAGGCGUGUGACUGCGUACCUUUUGUAUAAUGGGUCAGCGACUUAUAUUCUGUAGCAAGGUUAACCGAAUAGGGGAGCCGAAGGGAAACCGAGUCUUAACUGGGCGUUAAGUUGCAGGGUAUAGACCCGAAACCCGGUGAUCUAGCCAUGGGCAGGUUGAAGGUUGGGUAACACUAACUGGAGGACCGAACCGACUAAUGUUGAAAAAUUAGCGGAUGACUUGUGGCUGGGGGUGAAAGGCCAAUCAAACCGGGAGAUAGCUGGUUCUCCCCGAAAGCUAUUUAGGUAGCGCCUCGUGAAUUCAUCUCCGGGGGUAGAGCACUGUUUCGGCAAGGGGGUCAUCCCGACUUACCAACCCGAUGCAAACUGCGAAUACCGGAGAAUGUUAUCACGGGAGACACACGGCGGGUGCUAACGUCCGUCGUGAAGAGGGAAACAACCCAGACCGCCAGCUAAGGUCCCAAAGUCAUGGUUAAGUGGGAAACGAUGUGGGAAGGCCCAGACAGCCAGGAUGUUGGCUUAGAAGCAGCCAUCAUUUAAAGAAAGCGUAAUAGCUCACUGGUCGAGUCGGCCUGCGCGGAAGAUGUAACGGGGCUAAACCAUGCACCGAAGCUGCGGCAGCGACGCUUAUGCGUUGUUGGGUAGGGGAGCGUUCUGUAAGCCUGUGAAGGUGUACUGUGAGGUAUGCUGGAGGUAUCAGAAGUGCGAAUGCUGACAUAAGUAACGAUAAAGCGGGUGAAAAGCCCGCUCGCCGGAAGACCAAGGGUUCCUGUCCAACGUUAAUCGGGGCAGGGUGAGUCGACCCCUAAGGCGAGGCCGAAAGGCGUAGUCGAUGGGAAACAGGUUAAUAUUCCUGUACUUGGUGUUACUGCGAAGGGGGGACGGAGAAGGCUAUGUUGGCCGGGCGACGGUUGUCCCGGUUUAAGCGUGUAGGCUGGUUUUCCAGGCAAAUCCGGAAAAUCAAGGCUGAGGCGUGAUGACGAGGCACUACGGUGCUGAAGCAACAAAUGCCCUGCUUCCAGGAAAAGCCUCUAAGCAUCAGGUAACAUCAAAUCGUACCCCAAACCGACACAGGUGGUCAGGUAGAGAAUACCAAGGCGCUUGAGAGAACUCGGGUGAAGGAACUAGGCAAAAUGGUGCCGUAACUUCGGGAGAAGGCACGCUGAUAUGUAGGUGAAGUCCCUCGCGGAUGGAGCUGAAAUCAGUCGAAGAUACCAGCUGGCUGCAACUGUUUAUUAAAAACACAGCACUGUGCAAACACGAAAGUGGACGUAUACGGUGUGACGCCUGCCCGGUGCCGGAAGGUUAAUUGAUGGGGUUAGCGCAAGCGAAGCUCUUGAUCGAAGCCCCGGUAAACGGCGGCCGUAACUAUAACGGUCCUAAGGUAGCGAAAUUCCUUGUCGGGUAAGUUCCGACCUGCACGAAUGGCGUAAUGAUGGCCAGGCUGUCUCCACCCGAGACUCAGUGAAAUUGAACUCGCUGUGAAGAUGCAGUGUACCCGCGGCAAGACGGAAAGACCCCGUGAACCUUUACUAUAGCUUGACACUGAACAUUGAGCCUUGAUGUGUAGGAUAGGUGGGAGGCUUUGAAGUGUGGACGCCAGUCUGCAUGGAGCCGACCUUGAAAUACCACCCUUUAAUGUUUGAUGUUCUAACGUUGACCCGUAAUCCGGGUUGCGGACAGUGUCUGGUGGGUAGUUUGACUGGGGCGGUCUCCUCCUAAAGAGUAACGGAGGAGCACGAAGGUUGGCUAAUCCUGGUCGGACAUCAGGAGGUUAGUGCAAUGGCAUAAGCCAGCUUGACUGCGAGCGUGACGGCGCGAGCAGGUGCGAAAGCAGGUCAUAGUGAUCCGGUGGUUCUGAAUGGAAGGGCCAUCGCUCAACGGAUAAAAGGUACUCCGGGGAUAACAGGCUGAUACCGCCCAAGAGUUCAUAUCGACGGCGGUGUUUGGCACCUCGAUGUCGGCUCAUCACAUCCUGGGGCUGAAGUAGGUCCCAAGGGUAUGGCUGUUCGCCAUUUAAAGUGGUACGCGAGCUGGGUUUAGAACGUCGUGAGACAGUUCGGUCCCUAUCUGCCGUGGGCGCUGGAGAACUGAGGGGGGCUGCUCCUAGUACGAGAGGACCGGAGUGGACGCAUCACUGGUGUUCGGGUUGUCAUGCCAAUGGCACUGCCCGGUAGCUAAAUGCGGAAGAGAUAAGUGCUGAAAGCAUCUAAGCACGAAACUUGCCCCGAGAUGAGUUCUCCCUGAC
rnacentral:rRNA from 1 species